rnacentral:sRNA from 1 species
CUUGCACUGUGGCAUGUGCCUGUAGUCUGAGCUAUCUGGGAAGCUGAGGCAGGAGGAUUGUUUGAGUGAUCCUACAGGAGUUCUGGGCUGUGGUGUAUUCUAUGAGUAUCCAUACCAAGUUUAGCAGUAAUAUGGUGACCUCCCAGGAGUGAGAGACCACCAGGUUGCCUGAGUGGGAGUGAACCUACCCAUGUUGGGAACAGAGAAAGUCUAAACUCCCAGGCUGAUCAUACCUGUGAAUAGCCACUGCUUUCUAGCCUAGAUCUUGUCCCUUAAGAAAAAAAGUCAUGUU